AAAAUCUUAAAAAUUUUUAAUUUCUAAUUAAAAACAAGCACUCAAGUGUUAGAUUUUU
rnacentral:tRNA from 1 species